AUAAUGGGACAUUAGUCAUCUCCAACAUCCACCGGUCUGAUGCAGGAGAGUAUCACUGCACUGCAGAAAACAGAGUCGGUCAGGAUGUGAGAAGUGUCAUCAUAACUGUAACUGGUUUCAGAGAGUGAGCAAGAGCUAGUUACUAUUUCCAUUCCUUAUGGUUCAAAGCUUCUGAGUAAUACAGAGAUAAAUGAAUCCCUUCAACAAACAACUGAAAAUUACACAAAGAUAUCCUGUAAGUCCUUCUUCAAUAAUCAACAGGAUAAUAACACACCUCAGAGAAUCUUCUUGAUUUUUUCUUGCAAAACUAAAAAAUUAUGUUCUUAUUCUUUCUUUCUUUUUUUUCCAUUGGUGCAGUGUUAAAUGCUUUUGUGGAGGACUCACCAACAUAUCUGAAUCUUGAAUCUACCCAAGACACUACAGAGUUCAUUUCACUUAAGCCAAGUGGCAUUAGCAUAGGAAUUAAUGAGAAAAACAAACAACCCAUUCAAACACAAAAACCAACCCCUGUGCCUGUCAAACCUGCACCAUUUCCCCCACUCAAAGAGACUUUUUUAAAGGACGCACGUCAACAUAUCCAAAUAACAGAGCAGGUCACAAAACCUCCAGUAACGAAUCCAAACACAAACACCCCUUUCCCAGCAGACUUAUAUUCCCAUACCCAGCUUAAAAAAAUUCAGAGUGUUUCCCUGAAUAGUGCCCAGUCCUUUAGUGGACAAGCUCAGACUACAGGCUUAACUUUAGUGGAUGUAGAGAAUUUCACUGCCUCAGCUCCUGUGGAACAACAUCAAAAUCAGAGUCAAAUCAUCAAGCAGACUGGAAGUACCAAGACAUCAGUGACAAAUGACACAGAACUUGUUGAAUCACUCAAGAAAAACACCUCACAGGCCCCUAUGAGGACCACUGACAAUAAUAACAGAGAAAAGGAGAAAUCCCAAACUUGGUUGCCUGUGAUUGAGAAGCAUGAUAUUCCCAUUGUGGUUGGAGUUGGUGUUUCAUUGGCAUUCAUUUUCAUUGCCAUGGCCUUUUACUCUCUGGUUCAGAAAAAUGAUCCUGCAGCUGUACCUACAGGGAGGGCAGCUCUGAGGGGAAUAUGUGGCAGGCAUGGGGAACAUCUUGCAAUGGAAAGGACAUAUGAUAACAAGGCAUUUGAAGAUGAUAAUUUGAUGGCUGUUAUUGAGCAAAGCCCCAACACAUUGGAGACAAGAGCGCUCCCAACAGAAGCCAGCCCAUCCAUCCUGAUGAUGGAGCCACCGUCCGAUGAUUUGCAAGAGUGUGUCCAGUCCACCCAGGGCCUGCCAGUUAUUGUGGAGACUCACCCAGAGCCUAGAGAAGAGGAUCAGGUUGGAACCUUUGUGGUGUUUUUUUUACCUCUUUAACAAAUUUUAUUCCAAACAUAUGAAGGUGAAUAUCUUGAUACCUGACACUGAAUGCCUCUUAUGCUCACCAAGACUGCAAUGCUUGAUCAAAAAUACAGUAAAAAAGUAACAAAUUUCUAUACUUCUAUUUAAGUAUACAAUUUAAAAUAUAAUUUAUUUAUCUAAUGGCAAAGCUGAAUUUACUAAUAGGCAUUUCUUAUUAUCAGUGUGAAAAACAGUUGUGCUGCUUGAUAUUUUUGUGAAAACCAUCAUUCAUUUGACCAAUUCAAGUGUCUUAGAUGAACAACAUUUAUUUGAAACAGUAACCUUUGUAAUAUUAUUUAACAUCUUAACUGUCACUUUUGUCACUAGUUUUUAAUGAACAACAAAGUUAUCAUAUGACAUAAGCGCAUGGGUCAUAUGAACACUUUUAUAGCAGCUUUUUGUCAUUUUUGGAGCUUAUCAGCCCCUGGUCACCAAUCACUUUCGUUUUAUGGAACAAAGCAGCAUGAUCAUUCUUCAAAGUUUCUCCUUUUCUGUUAAAUUAAUAGAUUCAUUUUGAAAUUAAUAAUUUUAUUUCUACAUAUAGAGCAUUGCACUCUUUUGGACUACAGACAUAAGGAAGUCAGUCUGUGGGCUAAUUCACAGCUAUAAAUAAAGAAGCAACAGUUACUUGUUUUCUUUUCUUUUUUUCCCAUUCUGAAUUAGUUGGAGACUAUAUUUGAGGAGGGGAAGGUCACUCCCUCACCACAUUCUGACAUUCAGCUGCAGUGCAUGGAGGACUGGAGGAGCAGAGAAUUUGAACCAGGUCAGGACGCCCCCUCACCUCCUCCAGCCAAUCCACCACCUGCCCAGGAGGAAGGCCUGCGCUCUUCCCUGACUCUCCAGACCAGCGAUCCCUCCUCAACUCCUGUGCGCCACAGCAUCAAUAUUUCCCAUGGUUUCUCUCCCCUCCUGCUGUCCCAUUGUGUGUCCCUGGGCAUGACCUCUGUGGCUGUGGAUGUGCACUUCUACCCAUCAGGUCCCUCGGCAGCCAGUCGUCCUCCAUGCCCUGCCUAUGGACCUCCAGGCCAGCAGGUGAACACCAGGCUGGAGCAUGAACUGACUACACCCUCUGCUAGCCACAGUAAAUAACAAGAGUGUGACAAACAUUGAAGUCAUGAGAAAGCUCUGUUAAAUCGCUCACUACAUAGGGCGACAGGCAGUUAGGAUAAAGGUGGUGCUGAUGCUUUAUUCUCCCUCUAAUUUUAUUUUUUUUCCUAUGAUGUCGGUUUAAUGAAAGGCAACAUGAGCUUUCAUGGAGCCAUGCGUUAGAAUGGCUGCAUGUGAAUGAACUACUUUCACAGCAUGUGCUAAAUUUGAUCAGAAAUGACUUUGCAUGCUACAACUGCCAUACUGUCAGACAGAAGAAACAAAACUAUUUAAAUGAAUAUAAUCAUAUAUAACAGUCUUUAACUGUAAAUUAUAUGGCAUUUCAUAUUUCUGAAACCCAUAGAGUUCACAUUAUUUUACAGUAAAAUGACAUAUAAAGCAAUGUUAAAUCAUUUACAGUUUUUCGCCAUAAAUGGUAAGGUAUCUUACAGAUAAACCAUUAACAGUUUUUUAGCAUAGCACUUUUACAAACAUUUUUUAUGGUGUGGCAUUAGGAAUGGUCGAUAUAACUAAAAAUGUUUAAAUAUUUUUCAGUCUUUUAAAAAAAAUUGAUAAUUGUAUUUGAUAUCAAUAUUUAUGAGUUAGCUUUAAAAAGUGUAUUUUCUUAUUAUUAUUGAUAUGAUUGAUUGAUGAUAUAUAUAUUGUUUUUUAAAUCAAAGGAAACACUAUUUUUUCCAAACAGCUAUUGUUACCAAGUUUAUUAAAAAAAUUAAUCUAGUUUGAAUAAUGAAGGCAUUUUCAUUAAAUGAACAUUUCAUUAAAUGAACAUAGAGUAUUUAAUCAUUUCUAUCCAUUAUUUAAUAUUUAAUCAUUUAUAUCCACCAAUAUAUAGUAACAGCAAUAUAGUAUUUAACUUCAUAUAUUUUUACUAAGACAUUUUAAUAUGUGAAAAAUAUCAUGCAUUCAUUUGCAUGUAUUGAUACCAACCUUGAAAUCUUAAAGAGCCCCAGCCUGAGAUUUUGUGGUCUGUAUAUAUAUAUAUAUAUAUAUUCAGACACAGGGAACAAUUGCAGGUAACAUUUAUCAUUAAUCAGGUUUAUAAAUACUGUCUUUCCUCUAAUGCCAAGGAAUUUAUAAUACUGCAAGUAUUUAAGAGUAAUUAAAUGUAUAUAUUAAUGUAUUUCUGAAAUAAGAAGUGACUUCUACAAACCUAGCCAUAGCAUUAUGUAAAAUAUAGUUGAAAAAGGUCUCCACAGUAAUGGAGAGUAAAUGCAAAGGGAUAAUAGAACUUAAAGUUGUAAAAAGGUUUUAUUUGUGCAACAUCUCGACUGUUACUUCCGCUCGUGCCAAAGGUUAAACCACCUUACCAUUAGUUAUUUCUGUGACUUGUAUUGUUGAAAAUUAAUCUUAAGAUAUUGGGAGUAUUGUACUUCAUGGGCAACAAACUGUUGUAUUUUGCUUUUACAUAGAAGUAAAAGUGACCAAUUAAUACAAUUAAUAAAACUAAGUCUCCUGUUGACUUUUUGAAGUCAUGUUAUAAGAAGCUAAAACACAAGUAUCAUACUAUUUACAUAAUUUUAUUCAGAACAGAUCAAAGCGUGAUAGAUUAGUUACUUCAUGUGAAGUGUUAUUGUCUUAGUUAAUGGCCACAAAUUAACGAUUAUUAAGAUUGCCGGAAAUGGUAAAGAGCCAUUUAAUUGUACAAUUUAAACAUUUUGUUGUAAAAUAGAUGAUUUGCCAUUUUAUUUAUUUAAACCUCUUAUGUAAAGGAUCAGACAUACAGGUACAUUACUUUUUGACAAACUAAUUCACAUUGUAAAAAAAUCUCAUAGUAAUGGUGCUACAAAUUGAUAUAUUUUGCUUGGAAAAACAUGAAUAUUAUAAGGUUACAUUCAUUCAAAUCAAAGAUCAUAAAUGAAUACAAAAGUGAACACUCUGUAACAAAGAAAAAAUAACUGUCCAUCACAGAUCCACAGUUCAGGAAAUUGCAUAUUUCAAGUUGAACAGUGCAUUAGAAUUUAGAAAUCUGCAUAACAAAACAGAUAUGAGGCAGCAGAUACAAUUAAUUUUCAUCAUCAUAAAUGGACGGAAUACUAGUUUUUUUUUUUUUAUUAUGAAUUAAAGCUAAAUGUUUAUUUGGCCUGUGAUGGACUGGUCAUCUGUCCAGGGUCUUUCCAUGGGAUACGACCCUACAUAGAACAAGCGGUUUGGAAAAUGGAUAGAUGGUUGUUUGCCAAUAUGAGUGCCAGUAAACAAAGUGCAUUAGAAUUUAGAAAUACUGCAUAACAAAACAAGAUAUGAGGCAGCAGAUACAAUUAAUUUUUCUAUCAUCAUAAAAUGGACGGAAUACAAGUUAUUUUUUUUUUUUUUUUUUUAUUAUGAAUUAAAGCUAAAUGUUUAUUUGGCCUGUGAUGGACUGGUCAUCUGUCCAGGGUCUUUCCAUGGGAUACGACCCUACAUAGAACAAGCGGUUUGGAAAAUGGAUAGAUGGUUGUUUGCCAAUAUGAGUGCCAGUAAACAAAGUAAAAAAAAUGUUUCUAUAUGACUGGAUCAUCCCGAUGAUAUAAGGUUACAACCAAUCUUUAAAGCUUUGAUCAAAUAGGUAGCAAGAAAUCACCAACCUUUUAGUCAAUUCUCUAAUUGAUCCUUUGUUAAGUUCCACCCCCUUUGAGAUUACCAUAAACAGCAUGACUUUCAUAGUUGAAAAA
rnacentral:lncRNA from 1 species